rnacentral:lncRNA from 1 species
UUUUGUGUCCGUUACUCAAAUGUUUUUGUUUUUCUUUUGUUGGGGAGUUUGGAAAUUUCAGGGAGAAAUCUAGAAAUCCUCAACAUGAAUUCGGCAGGAUGGCAGAGAUUAAUAUGGUGGUGAGACAUGCAGAGAGGCAAAUACCUCCGGUGCCUCACUGGAGAUUUUGUUACAUGACUUUACGCAACAAUUUCAAUCUGGGCGCUUUAAUCCUUCAUCAAUUUGAUAUAGAUCUUCGUAAUGCUGUAAGUUACCUUCCUCUCCUAAAGGAUACUACAUUUCAUGUGCUCGAAUUAUGUUUCACGUCAUCGUGUGCCUAAUUGGAUGCUUUGUUUGUGAGUUUGACUGCAUUUAGGAAAAGAGAAAGACAAUUUUAACUGGAUUUGAAAAGCUUUAUAUAUAUAUAUAUAUAUAUAUAUAUAAACCUGUGGUGUAUUUGAAUGUUUACAAAAGACUGUAUAUUUGCAUCUUUGACUUCUAAAAAUGUGCACAAACAUUUCCACUAUUAACUUUCUGAUGCCACCAUAUCCUCUAACUUUCUAGCCAGUUAAUCUAAGAAACUGCCAUCGGUGUCACCACCAAACCCAUUCCACCAGUUUAAUUUGAACUGACCCUGCCUAGUAAAGAGAGGGUAAGAAGGGUGGUGGGUUCCAUGGGAAAACUAACAUGCAGGGUAGAAAUGGAUAAGCAGCCAAAGUCUUCCCUUAUCUUAAAAAAUCGAUGCAGACUCUGUCAAUCUCGAUGAAACCAAAAGGUGCAUUGAAUUUUAUCUUAGUAAACUGUCCACGUGUUUUCUGUUAAGUUACAUUUUUUUCUGCAGACUUGAGUAGUAUAUUCAAUAUCAAUUUCGCCUCUUUGUAUAUUCCAUUAUGUGAAGAAUGAUUAUUGUGUAAAAUUUCUUACACUUUACAGGUAUGUGUUCUCUAUUUGUCCCUUUACGCUCUUGACCACAUCGGUAUGUUUUAACUAUACAUGAGUUUCUUUUUUUUUUUUCACAUGUUAAUUACACUAAAAGUGCAUACAUGAUUCCUCUUAAUGGAUUUACCUGCAUAUGUAGACAAUUGUCAAUUUCGUAGUAGUCAUUUGACAUUUUUUAAUUAUUAAUCAAAAGCGAUAUUAGUUUCAUUUAUAAAUGAUAAUGUCCUUAAGAAAAUUAAGGUUUAGUAAGACUGUUUCGAUGUUGAGACGUAUCCAGCUUCACAUUUCCCCUCUGUGAUGGCGAUACUUUUACUGCAACAUCAAGCAUGCAGUUCGUCUUACUUUUCGAUCCUUGCUUGUCCUCAGCCUCUUGACAUACCUGGAAAUAAAACAAAAACAAAAAUUAUGCAAGACUAAGAUUUCAAAUUAAAUCAAAUGGAAACACUAUCGCAGUAAGCAAAUUGAACUAUGCUUGCUUAUUCUUCUUAUUCAAGAAGCUAACAAAUUACCUCUAAAUUACUAGCUUAAUCAAAAAUUUUAAACAAAUAAAUACAAAGAUUACAUUACCUAUCGUCGCCUAAUUUUGUUUUUGAAGUAAUGAACGAGAGAAAAGUUUCAUUCAAGCACUUGUUUAUCGGUGUGUGGAAAUUAACAUGUCUACCCAUAAUUUAUACAAAUUAUAAAAACUUAAAACUAUAUAAAUAACAAAAAUUUAAAAUAAAAGAAAAUAUUGAAUAAAAUACAAAUAAUUACGGAAAUUCAAGAUACUAUAAAUUAACACUUCUAACAGUAUGUUUGACAUAGAUUUUUGUAGAAAGUGGAUAAACGUCGUGAAUCCCAUGGAAUGUCCGGUUAGAAAUAAUAUAAGCUUUGCCAACCAUACAAUAAAUUAGCCAUGACGGCAGCACGGGGACAGUGGGUCAGGGGAUAGGAGAUGAAGGUGAAGGUCAUGUAGCCGGAAAAAGGGAAGGGAAAAAUGGCGUUGAGCUUGGCUUGACAUUAACAUAGAAAGAAUUAGGUCACACUCAGGCUCUAAUGGUAUUCCAAACUAUUAUUUUUUACUUGAUAUUGAUGAUGAGUGCAAGGAGUAAAAAGAGCAAUUAAGAGAAGAAAGGAGGAGGAGGAAGAGAAAAUGAGGGAGAUUGUAGUUUAUUUCAAUAAUCAGGUGUGUCUCAGGCCUUUUAUAGGUUCUAUAUUACACCGAGGAAGGAAAAUAACUAAUAAGGAUAACUAGAAUUUCCUUUUAAAAAUGAGACAAACUUACUAUCUUACCAAAAUCAAUAAAACGAGAUAAAAGAAAGUUCUAUUCCAAUUGAUUUUAUUUCGUUUAUGCCUAGAAUAUACUUUCACUUUGCAUCAGAGGUCCUUGACCUAGCAGCCUCUAUUCACACGAAUUUCAUUCCUUUUGACAGAGGAUGAUACAAGCAUUUCUGCCGAGGUUAAAGUACCUACCCUGAUGGCUUUUCACCGUCUCAUAUAUGAUCAAGAUUUGCAGUUUGCACGUGAGUUUUAAAUGUUUCUACCUAUACAGUCUGUUUGACACUCUUUCUGCUUAUUGUACUUUUCACGUUGAAGAAUGCGUCGUGACUUGAUGAUCCGUAAGUUAAUUUUGUUCCAUCAUAUUUGAUGAGGUAACAGAAUACGCUUUUCUGAUUUCCAUCAUUUUCAACCCUUGUGCAUCUUCUUCUUAUGGAAAUCGAAGUCGUCGGUUAGUCGGCGAGGACAUUGAAUCUUUGCCUGCUGCUUUUCUUUUGAGGAUGGGGGAGUUUGUUUGUGUGUAUAAAAAGUUGUCUCUGUUCUUCUGACAUAUGAAUGCUCUAAAUUUGCUGCCUGAUCCUUCUUGUAUUUUUUCUUAAAGGUGGUACAAAGAACUACAGAGUUCUCCUAAACAACUUCUAUCAUGUUUCCACUGCUUUUAUGGAUCUUGGGCUCAGGUUUUCCCUUCAUAAGCAUUUAUUUCUUCCGUGAUGAUUUCAAAUUUAUUUUAAAUCAUGUACUUAUUUACAAUUUGAUCUGCAUGUCUUAAAAAAUGAAACAAUUUUCUUUGUUUCAUAUUUUCUAGAGCUAAUACAAAAUGAUAUACAAUUAUUUCUGAAACUAUCGAGCACCUUGAUUGUCAUGCGUCAACUUGUUAACGUUGUAUGAUCUUUGAAAAUUUGAUUAUACUUAGACUACCCCAAUAGGUUUCCGAGCGCCGGAGUUUUGGAUACUUUGUGAGUUUGUUGAUGGAAAGUUAAACAAACGGAUUUGAGGAUCUCCAUAUAAAUUUUGCAAAAAGUUUCCAGGGUCACAUGAUAGCAAGAAGGGCGACAGAAAUUUGGCAAAAUUCCUAUUUGAGGCGAAAGCAAAAGAGAAGACUUUUCAGUUUCCUUAUCUCUUAAUUAUCGUGUGUUAUAAUAAGAAACAUCUAGACAUCUAUUUAAUGAUAUCAAUGAGCAUCCUAAACAGACUAUCUAGAUUUUAUCACACUCCAUUUUCUUAGUUGUUAUUAUGUGAUUGGUAAAUUUGAAUGAUAGAUAUAUGUAUUCAGUUGAUUUCCAGUGUGUAAGGCAAAUAUGUUGCCUUUUGGUUGAAUGCUUCAUGACACAUGGUUUCUGCUCCCCAUGUUAAUCACGUUUGGCAUCUAAAAUUUCCUAUACAUCUGCAUUUAGCCCCCAUUUGACCCCCAUUACCUGAAAAUGAAAAUGGGGGGAAUAAUAUUUCUUAGAAAAAUGAGUGGUUGAAAAAGAAUGAAAAGUUUUCGAUUUACAUGUAAUAUUAUUUUAUUGAAGAUUGUGUGGUUGAAAAUAGGAGAGAGAAAAAUGGAAUGUAAUAUAAUUGAAUUUAAUGAGGAUCAAACAUAGGAAAUGUAAUUUGACCAAUAUAAAACAUUUUUCAUCAUGUUGAAUGAACAGUGUUUGGACUUUGGAGAGCUCAGAAGUGAAAAUAUGAGACAUAAUUCAGUAAAAAACUGUAUUUAUCUUUCACAUUUAUUUUGCUUCUGCAAACUGGUAUGGUGGUUGCUGAAGUUACAUUACCCUAUAAAUAGUUCGAUGUGUAAAAUAUGCGUUCUUUUGUGCGUGCCAUGUAACUCUCCUUUUUUCACAGUUACCAGGAGGUUAUUGAGGAUACUACCAAGAAGAUGGGUGCUGGAAUGUCAAAAUUUAUUUGCAAGGAGGUAUAUUUAAAAACAUCAAUCCUUAGGUAGUUCAGUAAUGCUCUGUUAUCAUAUAGUACAAUCCAUCAUAGAUAAUUCCCAGUAUCACAAAGUUCAGUCAUUUCUUCCACAAUGUUAGCUAAUUAUAUUUUAUGUUAUAAUUGAUUUCUAACCCAUGUCACAACUUCACUUUGUUUGAGGCAAGUCCAAUCGCUUGGAUAGUGACACAUUUUCUUUAUCAUUCCAGAUAGAAACAAUUGAUGAUUAUGAUGAAUACUGCCACUAUGUAUCUGGACUUGUUGGAUUAGGGUUGUCGAAGCUAUUCCAUGCUUCUGGAAUAGAAGAUUUGCCUCCUGGUACUUUCUUCCACACAUCAUUUGUAUUUGGUCAGGUACUGAUUACAUUAUGUGUAGCAAUCGAUACCAGCAAUGUCUUUGAGAACUCGUGAUAUAAUAGAAAGCCCAUCUUGUUCCUUUGAAAUAAUUGCAGAAAGCAGAUAUUAUCCAAGACUAUUUGGAGGAUAUCAAUAUGACACCGAAACCACGAAGGUUUUGGCCUCGACAAAUUUGGAACAAGUAUACUGUUAGACUUGAGGUACAUUUAUUUUCAUUACUUCAUUUUAAAUUUAGUUUACUGGUGCUUAAGUUGCAACAUAGAUUUUCUGCUAGAUCAAGGAGGGCAAGUUGUGUUGUUGACAGUUAUCUUUUACGCAUCAUAGGACUUCAAAUAUGAGAAGAACUCCAUCCAGGCAUUACACUGCCUGAAUGACAUGGUCACAAAUGCGUUGCUACAUGCUGAAGAUUGCCUAAAGGACAUUUCUGCUGUGCAAGAUCCAGUUAUCCUUCGGAGUAUUGCAGGAGUACAGGUAUAUUCAUUUUUAUUAUGAUAUAAGAUUUGCAAGAGUACAGGUAUAUUCGUUUUUAUUAUGAGAUAUUUUAGACCUUUUUUUUUUUAGUGUUUACUCGUUUAAAAAUCUUAUUCAAAAAGCUUUUAUUGUAUGAUGAUGGUUGUCAUGAGAGAAAAAAUGAAUUGAAUGUAGUCUCUAGCUAUUGCUUGUCACGAGAUCGCAUCAUUUAGUUUGCUUUCAUGAGCUUAAGGGGUAACAAGUAUGAAAGGAAAACUAGGAUCCUUUCCACACCAUCUUGAAUCAACUUUCAAUUUAUUGUUACCAAUGGUUUAGUGGUUGUUAAGACUUAAAAGAUGGUGUAGAUUGCAUGAGGCUAGUUGGCGCCAGCUGUAAUAGGAUAAUUGUGAGAGAAGGGGAAAAUGAAGAGGGAGAAGAGAAAGGAGGGAAAGAAGAGAGAAGGGGGAGAGAAUAGAGAGAAAUAGGGGGAGAAUAUCAAUUCAUUUCAUAAUCAAAGGUUUUUUUUAUUACAUCGCAUAACCCCCUUUAUAUAGAGUUUAAUAAAAUCAUAACUAAGUAAAGAGAUUCUAUAAAAGUUAUUAAAUCAUAAUCUAAUCAUGUUUCUUAAAAUACGAAUAAAAAUCGAAAAACUAAAUAAUUAAUUAUCUCCUAUGGUGUUGCAUCAUUUCUCCCCGGUUGAGAGAACUCGACUCCGACGAUGUAGACAAGAACUUCAUACUCUGAGGAGGUUUAUCUUUUAUCUUGAUCAAUUGCAUGUAUUGAACCUUGGAUGUCAUCUGACUAAGCACAUACCAUGGAGGACGAUCUUUCUUAUGAUCCAAAUAUCUAUUUUGAACAUGUGACAUCAACUAAACAUAUCUCCCAAUGUUGAUUAAAAUAUGCAAAAGAUAAUUGUAUAGUUGAAAACUACAAUAUAUAUAUAUAUAUAUAUAUAUAUAUAUAUAUAUGACCCUUUGUCACGUAGAUGGGUGAAUAUUGUCAUUCUUAUUUAGAGUCACUAUAUGCUCCUCAAUUAUUGUUGUGCCAGUAACUUAUCCUCAAUCGUUAAAACGUAAAAUAUCAUCAACCUUCUAUUAUGAUAGUAAAAUCAGUAUUCAACAACGAAAGCAUUCCAAUUUUAUGUUAAAUAAUCAUGUGGUUCUAAUAUGUUAAGUUUUAGGAAGCCACACUUGGAUCGCGUGACAAUUUAACAUGAAUUCAUGCACAUAUUGUUCAACUAAUAAUGAAAAAUAGAGACCAUUAUCUUCAAAGGUUUGGAAUUAUCUCUCUCUUUCUCAAACAUCGACCAAUGAUUUUCCUGUCGAGGCAAUUGAUUAAGGGCCAAUUCUUAAAAUAUAGCAACCAAUUAGGGAGCCACUACUACCUAAAUUGGUGAUGAUCUCUACUAAAUAAUGUACCAACCGAUUUCAGUCGUUCUUUGUUUUGUAACCAAUAUUUUUAUCUUACACCAUAUUAGGAGGUCCAAUGCUUGACGCCUUUAUGGUGGAAAUAAAUUAACAUACAGGAGAAAUCAACUGAACGACAAAAGUGUCGUUACUGGGAAGAAAAUGACAUUUUUGUCCUUUGGGCUUUGUUUUUAAACACGAUUAUAAGCAGCCACAUCUCGUUCUUGUCUUGGGAACUAAUAAGUUGAACUCAUUUAGGUUGUAAAAUAGACAUGAUAUUUACAAAAGUCCUGUAACACCUCAAAUUUUUCUUACUUAUUUUCAUAUGGACCUAAACUUAAUAUUGAUAAUUUAGCAAAUGAAAUAAUCCAUGUCUAGGUUUGUUGUUACACUAAGUCUGAAAGUUGAAGUGAUAAACACGAACCACUUAUUUGUAUAAAUGAUUUAUUUUGCAUACGUAUAAUUUUUUGAAAUUAUUGUAAGUUAUUUGGGUCAAAUAUUUAAGUAUUUCAAAAGUUAAUAAAAAUAUAUCAAUAUUAUACUCAUUUUGUAGCUCGUGUUAAAUAACAUAAAUUGGCUCAAGAAGAAAUAAUUUUGGAUUGAUUAUAUUAGAGUUAUCUUGAUAGAAAGAAAAUUACCCUAAUCCUAUAUUUUAUUAAAAAAAAAACAUAUAUAUAUUAGAAUGAGAGAAUGGGCCGUUUCUUGAAAAUUGAAAACCGCGAAAUCAAUAAUUUUUCUAAUAAAUAUAUUAAAUUAAUCUUUUCAGCUUUUACACAACCAUUCCAUCAAUGAAUACUAAUUUCCACACUCACCAUUAUUGAUUUGAAAUAAAGAAUAUGUUAAUCAACCUGUUGAUUCCCCCUAACGUGUGAUGGUUUGUAUUCCUAUAUAUAUAUAUAUAUAUAUAAUGUGUGAGAAGUAUGUUUUUUGCCCUUUACAUGUACACCUUCUCACGUGAAAACACACAUAUUAACAAAGAGAUAUUAUCUUAUUCACAAGCCAUUUUCAGAUUUAUUUAUUAUCAAAUUGAGGUAAGAAUAUAUAGUGUAAAGUGGUAAAUUCUUAUUUCUUGAUAUUUAUAUAAAUUUUGGCAUGAAAUACUAUAAAGCAUUCGAAUCAAAUUUUAUGUUAAAUCUUUCGGCAUAGACCGUUAGGUCAACUAUAUUAAAUCCUAUGGGAUGGAUCUUUAGGUCGGUUAUGUUAAAUCCUAUGGAAUAUAGGAAAUUUUCAGAAAUUCCUUAAACUCAAAAUCUUAGAAAUAUCGAUAUGUUAUGUCAAUUUUAUAUUUAUAUCAUGUUAAUAAGAAUAUGCACAUAUUCUUAUUGAAUGUCUUCAAAAUAUUCACUCUUACUAAAAUUUCAGAUUAAAAUAGGUUGUAUAGACACGUGGAAGAUUGAUUGAGUGAUGCUUAUGGGGUUGUCAAAUAAAGUUUCAGAAAAUAUAAUUGUCAACUUUUAUUUGAAUAAUAUCUUAUUUUAAUGCACGUUAUUUAACAUUGUUAGAGAUCCAGCAUUAAACAUUUUAUAUUAAAUCUUAAAUUAAUAGUUUGGAAUGGGGUUUCAAGAAUUAUAUUUAAUACGAAAAUUUUACUUAAGUUGAUGUUUUAUCAUUAUCGAAUUAUCAAUCACAAUUUCGAAUUUCAACCCUUAAUAAAAGUGAUAUUUCCGCUUAAAUUAAAUAAAGAAGAAUUUGGUAACACGUUGAGUCUAUUUUUAUAAAAGAAUAAAACAAUAAAGAUGAAAAUGGUUUUGGGGCGUUACACGUUCUUUGUCACGUUAUCAACAUUUAUAUCUUAAGCACGUUAGGGGGUUUAAUUCUUGAGGACGUUGCGUUGAAAAUAAAUCAAAAUAUUCAACAAUACAACAAAACGGUACAAGUGACUUUAUUAAGAAGAAAAUGACCAUUGUAUCGUUCUAUUUGUAAACACAAAUAUAAACAGUCACGUUCCUUUUGCGUCUCAAGAAAUAAUAAUGAAACUUGUUUACAUUUUAAUAUACACAUGAAAUGUGUGAAAGGUUAAGAUAUAUUCCUAUUAACUUAAUCGACACAUAUGAUUAAGAUGAUUUGUGCUUUCAUCAUUCUGAUAACAUACAAGUUGUGUCAUUUCAACCAUUUUUUAUGAUAUACUCAACAUUUCUAUAUUACAUACAUUAUGGAGUUCUUUUUAGAUAUUGUUUUGUUGAAAAAAAUUAAAUAUAAGUAAAAACUUUUGAACAAUACAAGUAUCGUUAUUGGACAUGAAAAUAGUACAUGUGCUAUUACAUGUGUAAACACUACUAGCCACAACCCAUGUGCGCCUUAAAAAUAAUAAGUUGAACUUAUUUACGUUGUAAUAAAAGUUGAGAAAUAUGCUCAUUAAUUUAAUUGACACGUAUGAGCAGGACGACUUGUGAUUUCACCAUUUCAAUAAUAUAAAAGCUAUGUCAUUUCAAUAGUUCUUUCUGACAUAGUCAAUUUUUCCGUGUUACUUAUGUCAGGAAUCCAUUAUUAGUGAUCGUUUCGUUGAGGAAAAAUCAAACCAUGGUAGAUAACGAUUGUAGUGCCGUUUUAGGUAGCAAAAAAGACUGGAGUGACGUUCUACAUUUUGGAUAAUAGUUGGAGUGCCAUUACCAUCUAAUAGUUGCAGACAACACAAAAAAAAAAAAAACACUAAGGGGGGGUUUGAUUGCCAUUUUUAGGUAAAAAUGCAUUUUAGAAUAGUAACUUAAUGGGAAGUAUGUGGUUGAAAAAUAAGAAAUUUUUUUGAUUUACGUGUAAUAUUAUUUUAAUAAAAAUGUGUGGUUAAAAAGAAGAGAGAAAAAAAUACAUUUUAAAAAAAAUGAGAACCAAACGGAAACUAAGUACAAAAAAACACCAUCUUAAAUAUUAUUUAUACUAUAUUCAAUAAUAAAUAUAUAGUUUAUAUAAGAUUUUUAAAAUUAUCUUUCAUCUUUCUUCAAAUAUAAAUGAGAUUUUACGAUAUAGAUGAUGGAUGUUCUAUUAUAGGAUUUCUUUGAUGUUGAUGGUUGUUUCAUUUAAAAGUCCAAUUUGUAAUAGAUACGAUUUCUUGGUUGUUGAGGUUGUUUCCUUUAAAAUACCAAAUCUUGAUAAGAUAUAUCAACUAACAACUUUUCUUUUUAUAUUUUAAAACCAAACCACUCGGAUUUUAUAAUCAAUUUAUAUAAUGAUUGUUUGGUCUUCUCUUUCAUUCAAUAAACAAUGUUUUUCAUCUAUAUAAUGAAUAGCAGGGUCAAAAGCAUUCUAAGUUACAGCUUUUGUGCCAAAUACUUAACAGUGUUACGGUAUAUAUCCAGUUGUAGGGAGACUAAGUUGUUGACAGUAGCUAAUGAGUACCUUGAGCUUUUUACAGGGGAGCUUCCCGUCGAGUGCCACCCCUAGAUUUGUGGCACCGGGGGUCUCAUACUUCUCGAGCUCCCUCAGAAUGGUUCCAGCCUUGUCCCAUAAAAACCCAGAAGUAAUAGUAGUCAACUGGUGAGUAGAAUCUGUAAGCAAUUUUCAGUUAGUUGUUAUCUUUUGUGUCCGUUACUCAAAUGCUUUUGUUUUUCUUUUGUCGGUGAGUUUGGAAAUUUCAGGGAGAAAUCUAGAAAUCCUCAACAUGAAUUCAGCAGGAUGGCAGAGAUUAAUAUGGUGGUGAGACAUGCAGAGAAGCAAUUACCUCCGGUGCCUCACUGGAGAUUUUGUUACAUGACUUUACGCAACAAUUUCAAUCUCGGCGCUUUAAUCCUUCAUCAAUUUGAUAUAGAUCUUCGUAAUGCUGUAAGUUACCUUCCUCUCUUAAAGGAUACUACAUUU